CCCUUAGAUGGUCUGGGCGGCACGCGCGCUACAAUGAUGCAUUCAAAAAGUCUUCUGACCUUAGAAGGUUUGGUAUUCUCCAAAGUGCAUCGUGAUGGGAAUAGUUUAUUGCAAUUUUUAAUCUUGAACGAGGAAUUCCUAGUAAGUACAGGUCAUCAACUUGUGUUGAUUACGUCCCUGCCCUUUGUACACACCGCCCGUCGCUCCUACUGAUUGAGUGUCUCAAUGAAUUCUUUGAUCUUCUGUCGAUUCAGUUCACUGAUCCGACGGUGGAAAGUUGAAUGAACUUCGUCACUUAGAGGAAGGAGAAGUCGUAACA
rnacentral:rRNA from 1 species